GCCGUUCAAACGGAACUCAUAACAACCUGGUAGCAUAUUGGGCCGUUCAAACGGAACCCAUAACAACCUGGUAGCACAUGGGCCCGAAAAAUCUGUUAGCAUAUUGGGCCUGUUCAAGCAUGAUUAGAGGAAUGAGAAAGAUGUAAAAUAGCUGUUGUUGCAUAGGAAAGCCCUAUCUUUUAUUCAUUGUGAGCAGACCGCACAUCAUACGUUUCUAUCCCUAGACUGCGUUCAAUCGUCCUGGUGGAGUGCUGGGGGACGUCCUACGGGUUGGAGUGUGCUUGGAGAGAGAGAGGGAGAAGAAACGCUGCAUAGCAGGGCACUUUAUAUCGUCGCCUCAGUUCUUGCACAGCGCGACCAUUGCAAGUGAGCGAGCGUAUUUUAGUCUAUAAUUAUACGGGUUGGAAACGGAUUUUCAUACGUCGUCAUGCUGUACAGCUUUUAAAUCUACGGUCGAUGACACCUGCGUUUUUGUCUUGAAGUUUCGCCGAUCGCGAACAGUUGGGACUGCAUUCCUUCGCUCUGGAGUCCAGACCUGCAGCGUUUUUCAGAGUGAGUGAGAGAGAUAGAGAGAGAGGGGGUCCCCGUUCCUACCUGCUGUCUUUACGUGUAACUUCUGAACUAUUCUCCAGACCAGUCAAACAUUCUCUGGCUGGCUUUACGCAGUGUUGUCGUUUAUCUGUAACAUCGGAAAAUCAAUAAUGAUAUCUGAGAAUCGAUUAGUUUUGAACUAGAAAGAUUCUGCAUUUAAGUUCUGCCCCAUUGGAUUGAAUGCCUUGUAUGCGGUGACUAUGGCUUUACAAUGGAUCCUCGUAGCCGCUUUGACUGGAAUUCUUCUCACCGCCACUUCAGAAGUACAUGGAGCAUGUCUCUAUCAGGGAUCUCUGUUCGCGGUAAGUGCACCUUUCAUCAUUCCUUCCUACCUUCUUCUUCCGCUGUCAUAUUUAUUUACACAACUACUGUUCACUGAGUCUAUAAAACAUUAAGAACACCUGCUCUUUCCAUGACAUAGACUGACCAGGUGAAUCCAGGUGAAAGCUAUGAUCCCUUAUUGAUGUCACCUGUUAAAUCCACUUCAAUCAGUGUAGAUGAAGGGAAGGAGACAGGUUAAAGAAGGAUUUUUAAACCUUGAGACAAUUGAGACAUGGAUUGAGACAUG
rnacentral:lncRNA from 8 species